GAUCAUGGCUCAGGAUGAACGCUGGCGGCGUGCCUAACACAUGCAAGUCGGAACGGAGUUACUUUGGUGAAGUUUUCGGAUGGAUCUGAUUUAACUUAGUGGCGGACGGGUGAGUAAUGCGUGAGCAACCUGCCCUUCAGAGGGGGACAACAGUUGGAAACGACUGCUAAUACCGCAUAAUGUAUUCGGAAGGCAUCUUUCUGAAUACCAAAGGAGAAAAUCCGCUUAGAGGGAUGGGCUCACGG
rnacentral:rRNA from 1 species